UGCAUCGGAACGUGUCCUGUAAUGGGGGAUAACCUGGCGAAAGCCAGGCUAAUACCGCAUACGUCCUGAGGGAGAAAGCGGGGGAUCGCAAGAGCCUCGCGCGAUUGGAGCGGCCGAUGUCGGAUUAGCUGGUUGGUGAGGUAAAGGCUCACCAAGGCGACGAUCCGUAGCGGGUCUGAGAGGAUGAUCCGCCACACUGGGACUGAGACACGGCCCAGACUCCUACGGGAGGCAGCAGUGGGGAAUUUUGGACAAUGGGCGCAAGCCUGAUCCAGCCAUGCCGCGUGAGUGAAGAAGGCCUUCGGGUUGUAAAGCUCUCUCGGCCGGGAAGAAAUCGUGUUCUCUAACAUAGGACAUGGAUGACGGUACCGGACUAAGAAGCACCGGCUAACUACGUG
rnacentral:rRNA from 1 species